UAAGCAUAUCAAUAAGCGGAGGAAAAGAAACUAACAAGGAUUCCCCUAGUAACUGCGAGUGAAGCGGGAAAAGCUCAAAUUUAAAAUCUGGCGGUCUUUGGCUGUCCGAGUUGUAAUCUAGAGAAGUGCUAUCCGCGCUGGACCGUGUACAAGUCUCCUGGAAUGGAGCGUCAUAGAGGGUGAGAAUCCCGUCUUUGACACGGACUGCCAGGGCUUUGUGAUGUGCUCUCAAAGAGUCGAGUUGUUUGGGAAUGCAGCUCAAAAUGGGUGGUAAAUUCCAUCUAAAGCUAAAUAUUGGCGAGAGACCGAUAGCGAACAAGUACCGUGAGGGAAAGAUGAAAAGAACUUUGGAAAGAGAGUUAAACAGUACGUGAAAUUGCUGAAAGGGAAACGCUUGAAGUCAGUCGCGUUGUCCAGGGAUCAUCCUUGCUUUUGCUUGGUGCACUUUCUGGUUGACGGGUCAGCAUCAAUUUUGACCAUUGGAAAAAGAUUAGGGGAAUGUGGCAUCUUUGGAUGUGUUAUAGCCCUUGGUUGCAUACAAUGGUUGGGAUUGAGGAACUCAGCACGCCGCAAGGCCGGGUUUUUAACCACGUACGUGCUUAGGAUGCUGGCAUAAUGGCUUUAAUCGACCCGUCUUGAAACACGGACCAAGGAGUCUAACAUGCCUGCGAGUGUUUGGGUGGAAAACCCGAGCGCGUAAUGAAAGUGAAAGUUGAGAUCCCUGUCGUGGGGAGCAUCGACGCCCGGACCAGACCUUUUGUGACGGUUCCGCGGUAGAGCAUGUAUGUUGGGACCCGAAAGAUGGUGAACUAUGCCUGAAUAGGGUGAAGCCAGAGGAAACUCUGGUGGAGGCUCGUAGCGAUUCUGACGUGCAAAUCGAUCGUCAAAUUUGGGUAUAGGGGCGAAAGACUAAUCGAACCAUCUAGUAAGCUGGUUCCUGCCGA
rnacentral:rRNA from 2 species